UACAGAGGUCCCAAGCGUUGUUCGGAUUCAUUGGGCGUAAAGGGUGCGUAGGCGGCGAGGCAAGUCUGGUGUGAAAUCCCGGGGCUCAACCCCGGAACUGCACUGGAUACUGCUUUGCUAGAGUACUGGAGAGGGAACUGGAAUUUACGGUGUAGCAGUGAAAUGCGUAGAUAUCGUAAGGAAGACCAGCGGCGAAGGCGAGUUCCUGGACAGUUACUGACGCUGAGGCACGAAGGCCAGGGGAGCAAACGGG
rnacentral:rRNA from 1 species